rnacentral:rRNA from 1 species
ACCCGCUGAACUUAAGCAUAUCAAUAAGCGGAGGAAAAGAAACCAACAGGGAUUGCCCUAGUAACGGCGAGUGAAGCGGCAACAGCUCAAAUUUGAAAUCUGGCUCUUUUAGAGUCCGAGUUGUAAUCUGCAGAGGGCGCUUUGGCUUUGGCAGCGGUCCAAGUUCCUUGGAACAGGACGUCACAGAGGGUGAGAAUCCCGUACGUGGUCGCUGGCUAUUGCCGUGUAAAGCCCCUUCGACGAGUCGAGUUGUUUGGGAAUGCAGCUCUAAAUGGGAGGUACAUUUCUUCUAAAGCUAAAUAUUGGCCAGAGACCGAUAGCGCACAAGUAGAGUGAUCGAAAGAUGAAAAGCACUUUGGAAAGAGAGUCAAACAGCACGUGAAAUUGUUGAAAGGGAAGCGCUUGCAGCCAGACUUGCUUACAGUUGCUCAUCCGGGCUUUUGCCCGGUGCACUCUUCUGUAGGCAGGCCAGCAUCAGUUUGGGCGGUAGGAUAAAGGUCUCUGUCACGUACCUCUCUUCGGGGAGGCCUUAUAGGGGAGACGACAUACUACCAGCCUGGACUGAGGUCCGCGCAUCUGCUAGGAUGCUGGCGUAAUGGCUGU